rnacentral:tRNA from 1 species
AGAAACUUAGGAUAACGUUAAACCAUAGACCUUCAAAGUCUAAAACAGUGAUUUAAACCCACUAGUUUCUGC